rnacentral:rRNA from 1 species
AGCGAACGCUGGCGGCAGGCCUAACACAUGCAAGUCGAACGAACCUUUCGGGGUUAGUGGCGGACGGGUGAGUAACACGUGGGAACGUGCCUUUAGGUUCGGAAUAACUCAGGGAAACUUGUGCUAAUACCGAAAAUGCCCUUCGGGGGAAAGAUCUAUCGCCUUUAGGGCGGCCCGCGUCCGAUUAGCUAGUUGGGUGAGGUAAUGGCUCACCAAGGCGACGAUCAGUAGCUGGUCUGAGAGGAUGAUCAGCCACAUUGGGACUGAGACACGGCCCAGACUCCUACGGGAGGCAGCAGUGGGGGAUCUUGCGCAAUGGGCGAAAGCCUGACGCAGCCAUGCCGCGUGAAGGAAGAAGGUCUUAGGAUUGUAAAAUUCUUUCACCGGGGACGAUAAUGACGGUACCCGGAGAAGAAGCCCCGGCUAACUUCGUG